CCGCGCCUGCGCCGUGGGGAGCCGCCAGCGGCAAGGCUCUGGGCGGCCGCAGUCUCAGUCUGAAGGCGGCCGCAGCGGCAGUCUCGAGUAAGAUGAGGCUUCUGCUGCUUCUCCUGGUGGCGGCGUCGGCGGUGGCCCGGAGCGAGGCCUCGGCCAACCUGGGCGGCGUGCCCAGCAAGAGGUUAAAGAUGCAGUACGCUACGGGGCCGCUGCUCAAGUUCCAGAUUUGGUGAGUGGUGCUCCGGCCCUGACGUCGCGUUUUACGCGAGGCCCCGGCUUCGCGGCCUAGACGCCGCGUCUCCGCUGCGUCUUCCCGGCGCCCCUCCGCAGUGGGCCCCUGGUGGGCCGCCGCGGCCGCGCUCGGGUCUCGGGUACAACCGCUCGCUUGCCUUCUGCCGGCUGGGAAGGCGGGACGGGGCGGGAGGGCGCUAGAAGGGUGGACGCUGCGGGCGCGGACGAGGGCCGCUGGCGGCGUCACGCGGAGCCCACGCCGGCGCUCAGCGCAGCGGGUGCGGCUCGUCGCCCGCCGGGGCCGACCCGGAGCGCCGGGCCUCAGUAACCGCGGCGGCCCUGGGUGGGAGCCGUUGCUCGAGCGGCGGGACUGUUCGCCCUGCCGCGGUGGUACACCGGCGGUGCCCGGGUUGCGGGCGGCGGCUGGGUCGCAAGGUGGGGACCGCCACGCGCCCGCGGAGCCCUAGCCUUUGGAAUGUCGGCGUUGCCCCGGUUCGUCCCAAAUCGCUUCCCAGCCCCUUGGGUCGGCCCCCGAGUCCGGUGCCGCGCCUUCCACCUGCGUUUGGCCUCAUCAUUGAAAACCAAGGAUUUUUUUUUUUUUUUUUUAAGUUUGUGACAUUUGAACCAGAGUCAAAAUAAGAUGGUGAAACUAUUUUUGGAAUGAAAACUGUUAUUUAUUUCUGGUUACAAGAAUCACAGAAAAGAACUUUAUGGUUAAUUGUGUGUCUGGAAUAUGUCAUGUUUCAUAUAAUAACUAAGAAAUGACAGUAGGGUCUGAGGGUGUGUGCGCGUCCUGGAGAGCCAACCAGGACCUAGCCAUGCGGAGCACACACUCUACUGUUUUUUUUUUAAAUUACAAAGUGGUGAUCAUUUUAACAACCUAAAAGAUUGUUAAGGAUUAAGUGUGAAAGUGGUUUUAAAAAGAGUGCUCUUUUCUAGUUAUAUUUUUCUAUAUUCUACUGUCCUAUUUCUUGCUUGUGCUUUUGCCUUUUCAAAAUACUCUUAGAUUUUCAUGCACUGGAAUUCUUGUUACAGUUUAAGGUGUACCUUCUACUGAAGUUAUUCAUAACAAGGUUUUCAAAAUAUGUAAGCAAAAUAUAGGGCAGGGCACACAGGUCUUCAUAUGAGGUUUUUUUGGUUGGUUAUUUUUGUCGUACUAAGGAUUGAACCCAGGGCCUUGUACAUGCUAGGCAAACUAUACCACUGAGCUACAUGCCCAGCCCUUUUUCAGUUUAAUAGGUGGUCUCCUUCAAUGGCUCCGGAUGGCCUUGGACUUGUUUUUCUCCUUUCCUCAGCCUUCUGAGUAUGUGUAUAACCAUGAAGGGGUGCUCAUUGAGCUUUUUAAAAAAUUCAUAACUUGAUAUCUAGAUGCUUAACUUUUUAAAAAUUUUGUUUUAAAUAUGACUUGUUUCUGAAGUCUACAGAGUUUCAUUUGCAGUCAUUCUGAAUAUGUUACAUAACAAAAGUGCUUUCAUUUUUGGGGGGGGGAGGAGGGGUAGUGGAGAUUGAACUCAGGGUGCUCCACUGAGCCACAUCCCCAACCCUGUUUUGUAUUUUAUUUCCAGACUGGAUCUCACUGAGUUGCUUAGCGUCCUACUUUUUUUUUUUUUUGCUGAGGCCGACUUUGAACUCUGAUCCUCCUGCCUCAGCCUCCUGAGCCACAGAUUACAGGCGUGUGCCCCUAUGCCCUGCUUCCAUUUUUUUUUUUUUUAAAUAUGCACAUGGGAAGUAACUUGUAUUAUGUCCUACUAAAUAGAGAUAAAUUUAGCUGCUUGUUUGUUGCUUUUCCCCUGCAGAGAUUAAUCUGUUUGUAAUAAAGUGAAUAUUAAGUUUCUGGUUUUGUUAGAUUCUUGAACAUUCAUUUGCAAGUUUGGGAAAGGAGAGGAAGCUAAUGUCGUUCAGGAUAAAAUGCAUGAAAAAUGAAAUUUUGUUUGAAAUCUCAAUGCUAUGAAAUGAGGUUUUUCUUAACAUUUAUGAAAGCACUACUUUUACUUUCAAUUGAUUUACUUUGCUCUGUGUUUUGAAUUUAUUAGAUGUAGGUUUUGCUAAAUAACUAUAGUUCAACAUAUCUGGUAAUUACACCAUUUUUAUAAUUGUUAGAAUGAAAUAGCAGUACAGCACACAAUGGAAUCAAAUUGGGGAGAGGUCAGGCUUGUGACAGCAUUUCCUACUCUGUGUUCAUAUAUACUUUUUGAAUAAAUUUAUUAGUACUCAAAGAUUUCCUGGUGAAUGAGACAGGUGUGAUACCUCAUAAAGUUUGCAAAAAUGGUUCAGUAUUAUUCUUUGUAUCUGAGUCUUUGGCUUUUUUUGUUGGUUGUUUGAACGAUAGAAUUUGGUAAUUUUGAAGACAUUGAUUUUAUAUUUGUGAAAAAUUUGUUCUGGUUAUUUAGGUUACUAAGCAUUGAAAGGAAGUUCUUGCCCUGCACAGUGGUCACCUGUAAUCUCAGCUACUUAGAAGGCUGUCUCAGGAGGAUUGCAAAUUUAAGGCCAGCUUGGGCAAUCCUAUCCCAAAAUAAAAUAAAAAGGGCUAGGGAUGUAGCUCAGUGGUCAUGCACAUGCCUUGCAUGUGGGAGGCCCACCGAAGCACCACACUUGCAUAAAAACCUUCUCUAAUGGAGCUUACAGUUCCCUUGUUAACUUUGUUUGCUUUGCAUUUUAUGUGUGUAUUCAAAGAGAUGAUAUUUGGCAUAUGUUUAUUUUUUUCCAUGUAUAUGAUUUAACAUGUAAUCAAAUCUGUAGUUGCUGCAGUUUAAAAAGAUUACUGACUACAACCUUUACAGUUGAUGUUUACUUGAACAUUUGACAGUUGGAUUACUACUGAGAAAAGUAGGUUAAAUGAAGUUAAGAUUUCAAAACAUAAGCAGAAUAUGGCAGAAUUGUCAAAUUUUGUUAAUUACCCACUGCUGUAAUUGUAGGACAUCCAAGUUCUAGCUGCAGUUUAGGUGGUAUGAGAGUAAUCUAGUUGGGAUCAGGAAGCAAAUUUUAAACUGGGAUUCAAGUGAUAAGAUUUAUUUGGAAUGAGCUUUAUAGGUAAUGGGAAUAAUGGACAGUGGCAGGAAAGAACAGAGUUUACAUGAGAAGCCCAGCCGACUUCAAAGAGCAAGAGGCAUAGGACUUUGAGUGUCUGUCAGGCCCUGUGUGAGAGAGACCAGCUAGCUUCAUUAUGGGAAGGCACGGAGUGGGGCUUCUGGAGUUGUCCAUGGAAGAGAUGAUGGAGCUUGGGUUAGGGAGCUGGUCGGGGGAAUGCAUAGAGGUUUGAGAGCUCUCUGAGAGAGAAAUUUAGCAGCUGUGGGUGAUGAAUUACAAUUGGUCCUCUGUAACUGUGGGCUGCAUAUCUAUGGAUUCAGCCAACCUUGGAUCAAAAAUAUCUGAGGGGGGAAAGUGGCAUGUGUACUGAACACAAACACAAGUUUUUCUUGUCAUCAUGCCCUACAGCACAACUAUUAACAGCAUUGAUACUUUUAGGUACUGUAAGUCAUCUAGAGGUGACUCAAAGUAUACAGGGGGUUGUGGGUAGUUGUAUGCAAAUACUACACUGUUUUAUAUAAGAGACUUGCACAUAUGCAGAUUUUUGGUAUUGGGGGGCAAGUCUUGGAACCAAUCCCCCCCACCCCCCAAGGAUAUUGGAGAGAUGUCCUGAAGUGAGAACUGUCCAAGAUGAUUUCUUUGGCGAUGAUGCUAUGCCAUUCCCCAGAAUGAAGACAAAAGUUUUUUGGUGAGAAGGAAGAGAAGGAGUCUUGAUUUAUUUUUAUCUACUUAUUUCUUAACGUGCUGAGGAUUGCACCUAGUAGACAAGUCUCACAUUCCCAGUCCUUUUUAUAAUUGUUUUAUUUUAAGAGAGGGUCUUGCUCAGUAGCUCAGGUUGGCCUCAAGAUUGAAUCCCCCUUGCCUUAGCCUCCCUAGUAGCUGGGAUUAUAGCUGUGCUCCGCUGUACCUGGGUUUGGAAUCCUGAACUUUGAAAACGUAAUAGUCAGAACAAAAACUCCAUAAAGAAAUGUUAAUCAUUCCAGAAUACCUGUAGUAACAAACUAGAAAAGUUAAGUUAGCAGAUGCUGUAUUUCACCAAACCAAAGAUACAAUGGAUUGUUGGAUGCACUAUUAUUUUAUAUAUCAUUUAGAAAGAAAAUAUACUACCAUUUAUGUCACAGUAAUGGUCAUAAGAUAAAUCCUGUGGGUUUUAAUUUUGUUUCUUUUUUUUUUAUGAUGGUAACUAUAGGAAAAUAUGCAUAUUGGAAUCAAAUAACAGCAGACUAUUAUUUGUGGUAGAAUGUCAGAGGAAAAAAAUGGUAAUGGCUACACCUAUUGAUGGUUUAGAUUUUUAAAAUUUUAUAAAGUUUAUAUGGAAUUUAUAAUUUUGUUUGCUUUGAAUUUUUUGCCUUUUUUUUUUUUUUACAGAACAGAAAGCUGCAACAUCUAAUUGAACAUUGUGCACAUAAUAGUUGUCUCUCCUUAAUAAUGAAUGAAGUGCUUAGUUCAAAGCUUUUAGAUGUAGGUAAAAUAUGACUGAAUGAUUUUAAAGUUUCAUAUUCUAUUACAGAAAAUUGAAACAUCAUUUUCUUACAGUUUGCCAUUAGAUGACGGUUAGAAAAUCAAGUCAAAUGUAUCAUGUAAAAAUUCAGGAUAGGGCUGGGGUUGUGGCUCAGUGGUAGAGCACUUGCCUCACACAUAUGAGGCACUGGGUUGGAUCCUCAGCACCAAUAAAAAAAAAAAAAUAAGCAAAAUAAAGUUACUGUGUCCAUCUACAACUAAAAAUAUAUUUUUUUUAAUCCAGGAUAUCCCUAUAAAUUUUGACUAUCUUGAACAGGAACCGCUCAUUUUCUGGACUAGCAGUUUGGAGACCAGGUUCUUAUUCUGUCUAACCCUUAUGCUCUGAGUAAUGUUUGGUAAAUGAGUCAUCUCAUCAGCACUCAGCUUGUUCAUAUGUAUAAUGAGAGAAUGUUGGUUGCUUUCCAUUUACCUCUGAUAUUCUAUGUUGUACUGUUAGAAGACUUAAAGGAAGAAAGUGAAAGCGCAUAUAUUUGUUUAUCUUCUUUUCUCUCUUUGCCAGUUAAGAGUGUAGUUGGAGCCCUCUGGCUUCUCUGAUGGUCACUUUCCCUGUUUUCCUAAAAGGGCAGUCUUGUUUUCACAUUCCUCUUCAUGACAGGUGCAGCUUGGAAUUGCUGAGGAAGACUUCUUGUUAUGUCGGUUUUGCUUCGAACCACUGAUAAUCGGUUCUCUUAGUGAUAGUGACAUACACUAAACUUUUUUGCUUAUGCUUCCUUUUCCCAUGCCACUUGUUUACCCCCUUUUUUUCAAUUCUUAGGAAGAUGUGAUUUUUUUUUCUUUUUUUUACAAUAAAUAGGGGAGAGAGAUAUACCAGUAUUUAUAGUAAAAAGAAUAAGUGUUCUCAAUGAGAUGUGUAAAUGAGGGUUAGAGGAAAGAAGGCUCCCUUAUUCCGGGAGCUGGGAGGCUUUGCAGAGGAGCAGAUGGAGAUCAAGUCUUGAAGGGUGUAGGGAACUCCAGGAGAUAGAGAGAAAGGGCUGCACAAGCUAGAACUAUACAAACGAAGCUGACUUAGCAUACAGCAGGAGGAGGGGACCAAAAAUGGAAAUGGAAAGUAAGGUACCCUUUAUACUGUGCAGCAUUCCUUCAGAAUGACACGGUGUGAUGUAAUUUUACAUGAGUAAGCUCAUAAUUGUAUGCUUUUUAAAAGCAUACCCCACACUUUUCAUGUCUGUAAAUAUAGCUCUCCAUCCAUAGGCAUAACAUUGCAUAGAGUGAGUGUGCCCUUAUUUAACCAGGGCCUUCCUGAAUUGUUCAUAAAGUUACUUGUUGAGAUAAAUAUUCUUAAAUACCUUUGCAUAUUCACUCCAUUGUUUCCAUAAAACAAACCCAUAGAAGCAUAAUGUGAUUAUGUCAAAGGUAUCACAUUUUAAAUUUUGAUAUACUUGAAUUAGUUAAAACUUCUGGAACAUCAUAAAGUGGAUUUUUAAAUUUUUCUAUUUUAUCUCAAAAUGAUAUUUGCUUUUUUUUGCUUAUUGGGUUUUCUCUGUGACCUAAUGAUGCUCAGUAGUUGUAAAUGUUUGGUGGGCUCUCAGAAAGGUUUUCUUUUCUUUCUUCUUGUUUUUUUUAAUAGGAAACAAAAUCUGAUCAAUUCAUUAUGGAUACUAUUCAGAUUUUUUUGUAAUUUUUGUUUAUUGGCCUUCUAUACCAGUUUCAAUUUUCUACCACAUCAUUUUCCCCUUAGGACUUCAAGAUAUGUUUUUGAAAAAAAAAUUUUUUAUUGUGGUAAAAAUGUAUAACAUCCAAUUUAUCGUAUUAACCUUUUUGAAGGGCGCUGUUCAUUAUUGUUGAGUAUAUUCACGUUUUGUUGUGCAGGAGAUUUAGAACUUUUUCAUCUUGCAGCACUGAGACUCUAUCCCUACUGAGCACUAACUCCCCUCUCUUUUCUUCCCUGGUUGUGACCACUUUAGAUACUUUAUUGGUGUAUGGAAUCAUACAGUUUUUUGUUUUUUUUUUUUAAGUGUUUUGCUCUCAAAUUUCAUCCAUGUUGUAGCAGAUGGCAGGAUUUCCCCGUUUUUAAGUCAGCAUAGUAUUCCAUUGUAUGUAGAUAAAUAAAUCCAGCCAUUUUCUUUAUUUAUCAGCUGAUAGACAUUUUAUUUCACAGUAGUCAACAAUGCUAUGAUCAACAUGGUAUACAAAUAUAUCUUCAAGAUUCUGCUUUGAGGGGUGGGGAUAUAUAGCUCAGUUGGUAGAGUGCUUGAUUUGCAUGCACAAGGCCCUUGGUUCAAUCCCCAGCACCACAAAAAAGGGGGGAAAAAAAAGAUCCUGCUUUGAAUUCUUUUGUAUAAUAUACACCUACAAGUAGGAUCACCUGUGUCUUCUUCUUUUUUUUUUUUUUUUUUAACAUUACAGAACCAGAAUACUUGAAACCUGUCAUUAACAAAGGAAAGAAGUUUAUUUUGGCUGAAGGUUUUAGAAGUUGGAAGUCUUAAAAGCCUGGCUCCGAAAUUGGCGAAGCCCAUGCUACUUCACCAGUGGCAAAAGGGAGUGAGCCAGAAAGAGAGAAGGCACAGCAGGCAGACUUGCUUUAUCACAACUAGCUCUUCUCCCAGAAUUAACUCCUCUCGAGUCUGGACCCCUCUGAAGGUUCCCCUCCCAACACUGGCAGUCACAUCUUAGCAUGCCAUUUGAAGGCAACAGAUUCUAUUCAAACCAUAGUGGCUGGAUCAUAUGGUAACUCUUAAUUUUUAAAAUUUUAGGCACCUCCAUUCUGUUUUCCUUAAUGGCUACACCACUUUACAUUUGCCCCAGCCAUGCACAGGGAUCCCAGUCACUGCACCCUCACCAAUACUUGCUGUGUUCUAUUCUUCUGAUGGUAGCCAUCCUAGUACAUGUAAGUUCACAGUUCAUUGUGGUUUUGAUCUGCUGGAUCCUCAAAAUAUGUUUUAAUUCUGCUUUUUGAUUUUGAGUUUUCCUGCAAUCCUCCACAUCUCUUUUUCUGCUUAUUGCAGAUUGUUUUUGAAGUUGCUCUUAUUUUUAAUCUUUUGGUUACUUUUCUGCUCUUUAAUUUUGUGACUUUUUUAAUAAUCCCUCAGGUUUUUUUUCUUCUCUAUUCUCAAGCAAGACAAGAGAAACAGCUUCAGAUAUUAUCAACUAACAAACUAUAGCAUUAUUUGCUAUUAGAACAUUACCAGUGGCAAAGAUGCAUAAAUUUUUGUGUUUUGCUUGAUGCUUAUCUUUGGAGCUUAGAAUAUCUGUCAACAGUCAAUAUUUGCUUUAAAAAAAGGGGGGUACAGUAUUUUGUAGGCUACCGUGGUUGGCCCUGUGGCAACCUCUCCUCCCCAAUUUAUAAAUUGCUUAAGUUCUUGCUGGGGAAGGAAUUUGAUCACUUUACUUGGAAAGUAUUUUUUUUUUUUUAUUAACAGUUAUAUUGUAUGCAGCCAUUCAAAGUGACUCAAUAAAGAUAUUUGAUAAAUAGUGAUUUAUCUGCUUUUUAAAUUUUUUUUAUUUUUUUAGUUUUAGGUGGACACAAUAUCUUUAUUUUACAUUUAUGUGGUACUGAGUAUCAAACCCAGUGCCUCAUACAUGGUAGGCGAGUGCUCUACCACUGAGACACAAUCCCAGCCCCUGAUUUAUCUUUAUUUUGAAGGAAUUGUCUCUUUGUCAAAGUCCUACAUUUAUUAUUUAGUUUUUAUCUUUUUUUAUACAUUUAAAAAUUUAGAUAUAAUUCAUAUGCCAUAAAAUUCGCCCUUAUUGCAUUUUAGUAAGUCAUUAUACUAAUAAGAAAAUAACAUAUAUUGUGUUCUGUUUUAAUUUAUUGCCCAAACUAGGAAGCUCUUUUGGGUGCUUUUUUAAAUUGUCUUCUCCCCCUUUUGUAAUUUCACCUGCAGGCUCAUUUCAGGUGCCAGUUGAGCACACUCACUGUAGCAGCCAGGAGUUGGAACUACUCCAAAGCCACUUCAGGAUUUGUGUUUGUUCUUAUGGUGGGCACUGGAAAGGAAGUCAGCUGUCUCAUCACACAGUUUCUUAAUCUGAUAAGCUGUUACCUCUUUAGUGUUGUUUUUGCAAUUCUUAAAAAAAAAAAAAAGAAAGAAAGAAGGGGCUGGGGCUGAGUGGUAGAACGCUCGCCUAGCACAUGCGAGGCCCUGGAUUCCAUCCUCAGCACCACAUGUAAAUAAAGGUAUUGGGUGCAACUACAACUAAAAAAAAUAAUAAUAAAAAAAAAUUGAAAAAGGAACAUGUUCUGAUUUAUGUUUUUUAAUCUUAGUCUGAAGUGUAUGAGAAAUUCUGCUUGCAUCCUUUUUUUUCCUAGUUAUACAUGACAGUAGAAUGUAUUUUGGCAGAAUAUACGUAAGUAUAACUUAUUCUGUUAGGUUCCCACUCUUGUGGUCAUACAUGAAGUGGAGUCACCCUGGUCAUGUAUAUAAACACAAGGCUAGGAAAGUUAUGACCAGUUAAUUCUACUCUCUCUCCUAAUCCUCUCCAGCUGCUUGCAUCUUUUAAAAAAGUAAUUUAUCAGAUUAGCUUCUUAUUUGCUCCUUGAGCAUCUUGUUUCUUGUGUGAUUUAUGGAGCACCUUGUUCAUAUUUUAUUGCUUAAAACACUUAGAGCAAGUGAUGUGCUCCACAUGAUGUCUGUUACUACCUUAUACCAAACACAACAAGGAGACAUCUAAAAAUGUAGCAGUCAGUUUUCAAUAAUCAAAGAGCUGCUAGGGAUGAUUAGUGCUGUAGACAGAAACUAGUAUUUGUAAAACAUCUUUAUGAUUUUCUUCGAGGUGUGCAGAAAAUAUUAGUUGAAAACUUUGGGAUGCAAGUAGUAGAAACCUAUUUGAAUGAGGAUAGACAGUGAUUGGGAAUGCAUUUAAAGAUUUCUAAAAGAAUGGUCUUGAGCCCAAAGGCAGAAGCCACAGGGCAUCAAAGACUGAAAUGGGGAACUCAAAAACCUGAGAAGGCUUUGUUCACAUUUCUGAUUCAUAUCUGUACUUUACUCAGUAAAAUGUACACUUUUUCUCUGAAGUUUGGCUUAUCUUCUCUUCUCAGUCCUAUUGAAAGAUUGACUUUCCUCCAUCCAGCAGGACUAGUGUUAAAUGUCACUUAUUAGUCACAUUUUAAAAUCAACAUUCUUCUUUUCUAGAAAAGAAGCUGUGGACCUUCUUCUGAAGGUUGCAUUUCUGGAACAUGUGCUAGGUUUUGGUCUCAUGUAAAUAGGACCCAAUCCUGUAGCAGGUCAGGCGGUGGGGUGGAUAUUGCUAAUAAAAGGGGAAGGGUGAGUAGAAGAGAUAACGAAAACAGAAAAUCACAAGUAUUUACUUCAUAGCAAUCAGUGUCUACGAUUUUGUUAAUGGUAUCUUCUUUUCUUUUUCUUUCUUUUUUUGUAACGUUGGGAAUCGAAACCAGAUCCUUGUGAUGUGGGGCACGCAUUCUACCACAUUCUACCACUUUGCCACAGACCCAGCCCCAGUCUUUCUUUUAAUAUGGGGGCUGUGAAAGGUAGGAGUGUGGGACAGGUUUGGGUUUGAUGAAAGUAGAUAUUUGACUUCAGUUAGCAGCAGAUGUAGUAGAGAGAAGUGAAAUUAUUGGUACUGUGAAUGAGGAGACAUGAUGGACUUUAAAAGCACAGUAUCUGUUUGAAAUAUCAUGGACAAGAGUUUUUUCUCUGUUCCUCAAACUUCCUUUCUGAUCAUUACAUUACAUCUAAUAUAUUUGCAAAAUCUUUAGGGAAAGUACUGUGGGAAAACUAUUUUAACUCAAACAGUAGCAAUAUUUGAGUCCUUUAUAGUAAGUUGUCUCUAUUACUAGAAAGGGUUUUGCAAAGUGGUGAGACUUUAAGAUUUCUUUUCAAGAAUUAGACUUAUUUUUCAAGAACCUUUGGUGGCAGCAGGAAUAGACAGCCAUUGCUGCAUUUUUAUUAUGUUCACAUGUAUGGGAUUAGAUGUACUCCUUGAGCCAGAGAGAGUGGAGUAAUUAGAGCUGGGUUUGAUGCCAGAGGUGAAAUGGUUACUAGCUCUUUACCAUCUGUGACUGUAAAAAAUUUAGCGAUGGCCACCUCAGCAAGCCCUAGGUAUGUUUCAUCUUGGAAAACAUCUGUUUGUAGUCAUGAUUAGUGCUUUUAAGAUGGGAAAAUUAUUUGGGGGGAAAACAACUGUACUGGAAAAAAGUUCUUUGGUUUUUCUUCACUAGUCUGAAGGCAAAUACAAAGAGGAAUUGCACAAGCAACAUGUCAAACCAUGUGUGGCAGCCUCGGAAACACUUCAUUCUUCAGAAAUAGAAAAGUAUUAGCCUAAAAUCUUUUUUUGGACUGUGAGAUUACAGGCCAUUUCUAUUUGGAAUUUCAUGCAAGGUCUGAAACUUAACUGAAGACUUGAAAUUAGAAGAACAAAGGGUCAAUUUAGGCUUUUAAGCACAUAGCUGAGAAAGUGGGUCACUGGGAGGAGUCUGACCAGCAGUGUUUCCUGCACUCAGACACGCCUCUCCAGCUGGGCCUCUUUCCUUUAGGUACUGCUGGGAGCCCACAAGAUUGACUUUCCUAUGUGGAGAGUCUUUGUAUUGUCAUCAUGAAGGAGCCUCAAAGAUCUCUGCAGUCCAGAGUCCAGCUCUGUGGGUACCCAGUGCUGGCACUGUGGGGAAGGGGAGCAGACUUCCCAGAUACAGGAAAGGAUGGCUCUUCUUCAUGUAGCUGUUGUAUUUGGUGUCAGGUAGAAAAGGCCCAGGAUCCCGAAUCAUAAAAUCCGGCUAUAUUUCAGUCCUGAUACUAAGGGCAGCAUCUAUCAGUGUCAACUGCUAAAAACCACUGCCUAAUUACAGUGCUUGAUGUGUGAUAGGCGUUCCAUAGAUAACUGAACAAGUGAAAUCUUAGAUGAAUGUAUACUUGGAAAAGUUACUUGAUCUCUCUGGGCUUCAUUUUCUCCCCUUUCAUCUAUGAAAAAGAAGUUUCAACUAAAUUAACCAAGUCUCUCAUUCUCAAAUAUUGCAUUAAAAGUUAAAUACUUUGGUGUACACCUGUAAUUGCAGGGGCUCGGGAGGCUGAGGUAGGAGGGUUACAAGUUCAACAACUUAGUGAGGCCCAAAGCAAAUUAGUGAGACCCUGAAUCAAAAUUUAAAAUUGAAAAAGGGUCUGGGAAUGGGGCUCAGUAGUUAAGCUGCCUCUGGAUUCAAUCCCUGGUACAAAAAAAAAGUUAAAUACUAUUAUUUUAGAUAAUCAGCACACCAGUGCCAAUUUGGGCAUUGAAAUCAGGUGGCAUUUCUUGGUUUUUAAGAUGGUUAGGCUUAAGGUUGUCUAGGUUAUUUUUGUAAUAGCUUCAGAACAAAAGAAAUAUUAAACUUUUAUUAUAGAAACUUAUGGCAGAAUACUAAUACCUGGUGAUCUGGUAUAGGAUUUACCUAGGAUCUUUGCACCAUUCUUACUCUAUAAAUUUGGAAUUACAUCAGAUUAGUAAUAUGAACUCAGAAAAAAAGCUCAGGAUAUUGAUUAAAAAGAAUAAAAAAUAUAAUGUAAUAAUAAUAUUAGGCUAGGUGGAUGUUAGAAAAGGCAUCUGGAGGGCUGGGGAUGUGGCUCAAGCGGCAGUGCGCUCACCUGGUAUGCGUGUGGCCCAGGUUCCAUCCUCAGCACCACAUACAAACAAAGAUGUUGUGUACGCCAGGUUUAUCUCUGAAAAAAAUUCAUAUGUUUUUAGAGAUUUACUCUUGAAAAAAUUUCAUUCUAACAAUAAAGGAAAUAUUUUCUCUAAAGAAUGACAGUCAAAUUUGUCUUACCCUCUUUUUUUUUAAUACUUAUUUUUUAGUUGUAUUUGGACAUAAUACCUUUAUUUAUUUAUUUUUAUGUGGUACUGGGGAUCGAUCCCAGGGCCUCCCACAUGCUAGGUGAGCAUUCUACUGCUGAUCUAUAACCCCAGUCCUCUUUCACUCUUUUUUGAUGCUGGGGAUUGAACUGAGAGGCCCUCUACCACUGAGCGCCCCCCACCCCCACCCCGCCUUGUUUUGUUCUUUUGGAAGUGCUAGGAAUCAACCCAGGGUUUUGGACAUGGUAAGCCAGCACUCUGCCACUGAGCUACAUCCCCAACCUCACUUUUUUUUGUUUUAUUUUGAGACAAGGUGUCACUGAGUCGCCAAGGCUGGCCUCAGACUUGCUAUCAUCUUGCCUUAGCCUCCAAGUAGCUGGGAUUUGGAAUUAACAGGUGUGCACCACCAUGUGUAGCUUUUUUUAAAAAGCAGGUUUUCUUACAUGGGAUCUACUAACAUUUACAUUGUUUCACCCUAUCACAGUAUAAACUCUGCUUUUCCAACUUGGGUUGGUAAUGGUGGUCAUUGGGGUUUUUUUCUUAGGUUUUACUCCACUGUAACUUACUGACCCUGCUUCCUCUGUACCAAGUGGUGACUUUGUCACUUUAUGGUAUUUAUGUAUUCCUUAAUUGAGAACCUAGUAAACUUAAGUGCUUGACAGUUUGCCUGAAUUUGCAAGCUCUUUUUCUCCUUUUCUCCAGAUAUGCUCUUGGUAGCAUCUUUUCCUAUUCUUGCUGGGGCAGCUUGCAUCUGAAAGUAAAUUGCUUAGAGACUUUUGUCAUGGAGAAGAUUAGAUGCUGUUGGCUUAAUUUCCAGAGUCAUUUCAUGUUGCUGAGAAUUACCUUCCCAGUCUUUGUUUUCCUUCACAAAGUAGAUUUAAAUUUUAGCAUAAGAAGGGAUCUAAUAGUCCAGCCUAAGUUUCUCUUAUGAUUGUGCAAAACUAACUUACCCAAGUUGGGGCAGAGUGGAAUGAAAGCCAGUUUCAUGUCUCAUACCUUGAUGUUCUUUAUAAACUUUUGCAACCCAUAUUUAAAAGUUCUAUUUCAGAUGAAUGAGAGUUGUUUUCAUAUAACUGAUUUUUUUUUAAAGGCCAAAGUGAUAUGUGAGUUAUACUGAAUAUGUGUGUGUAUGUGUGUGUGUGAGAGAGAGAGAGAGAGAAUAGGUAUUUGCUGUUGUCUAACAAUAGUCCAAAGUUAUAAAAGUUUUGAUUUUUAUAAUGGGGGAGCAGUUAUUUGAAGGUAAAGUAACUUAAAUUUGUAAAAAGGAAGAAAACUCCCUGUAUUCAUCAUAUGGGUUCAGUCAUUAAUUUAUGAUGGAUCUUGAGAAAGAAAUUUAAUCUUAGUAAUACUUUUUAGCCUUUUUCUGACUGCAGAAUAAAUCUAGGUGUAUUCUCAACCCUAAUGGAAACACUUAUUUUUCUGCAGUGUUUCCUGAGGUUACAGGCGGGUGUUUGAGGAGUACAUGCGGGUUAUUAGUCAGCGGUACCCAGACAUCCGAAUCGAAGGAGAGAAUUACCUCCCUCAACCAAUUUAUAGGUAAGUAAACUUCAGUAACUUAAAAGGGAAACAAUUUAGUUGACUUUACAAGCGUUUGUGAAUUGUUUCAAUCACUUUUCUUUGAUUAUUGUAAUUUCUUAAUUGGUUACAGUAGUAUGCAGAGAAUGCUACUUUAUAAGUAGCAAGCUUAUAUAGACUUUUUCUGCAAGAAGGAAUUGAGGUUGUUUCAGAGAUGACAACCCUUUUAAAGAAGUGUUUGCUUAUGUAGUUUUAAUGUGGAAAUAGGCUAAGAAUCCCCUCUUUUACUGAUACUAGAGGUUGAACCCAGGACUUCACACAUGCUAAGCAUAUUCUUUAAUACUGAAUUAUACCCCCACCUUCCCAAAAUUUUAUAGAGGAUCAGUGAUAUAAAGUUCUGUACUGUCUUAAAAUGAUAAUGUUUUUAAAGGCCAAUUUAUAUAACUUUCAAUUUUAUUUUUAGAUUGACUUAAAAGAUUAAACAUUUUGUUUUAAAACUGUACAAUAAACUUUAGUUGCUUUUUAAUGAUUAGUAACUUAGAUUUGUAGAAAAUGUUUAUAUACAUGUACUUGAAUAUUAAACUUUAAAGAGAAAUUAUGGCUUCUUUUUUUUUUUCUUUUGAUAGACACAUAGCCUCUUUCCUGUCAAUCUUCAAACUCGUAUUAAUAGGCUUGAUCAUUGUUGGCAAGGACCCUUUUGCUUUCUUUGGCAUGCAAGCUCCUAGCAUAUGGCAGUGGGGCCAGGAGAAUAAGGUAUGUGACUCAAUAACUGUGGCUACUGUAGGUUCUUAGGUUGUCAGUUACAAGGCUGUAAUGGAUUUUUCUUUGGGGCAUGGGGUGCUUGUCACUGAUUUACAUUAGUAAAUGUGCGUUAUUUCAGCUUUGUCACUUUAUUUCUGGGCAAAGACUUAACUUCGCUUGGCUUCAGUUUCCAUUGUGCCUUAAAAAUAAUAUAUUUAAGGGUAAUGGUCUUACCCUUUUAUUUAGGGGGCAUAAAGGGAGAUAUUGUUUUAGAAGAACCUGGACACAAAAUAAUUUAUAACCUGAUUUUGAUAUAGAGUCUUACAGUAUAUAUUCUUUCUAGAGUGUGUUUAUUUUCAUCUAUUUUACUUAAAGUCAUUGUUUCCCUGAAUUUUCUACCAUUAUCAGAAAUGGAUCUAAUUUUAUGUAUCUCUGUGUGGGGAAUCACUUAGAUGCUUUCCCCCCGGGGCAGGUUCUCUUGUGGAGCCCUCUGUCCAGUUUGUUCUUUAGCUCUAGGCUUAAUUCCUUUACCAGACUCCUGACACAGUUGUACUUCUCCUAGGGAACCACUUGGUUCCAGGAAUAGGCAAGACUCUUGGCAUAAACUCCUCAAGUGUUUGUUGUCUCUAGUUGGAAGUAUGUCUGCCCUGUCAUUAACAAAAUGUUAAUUUUCAAAGGAUUAAGAAUGGAAGCUGAGCACUUACUGCUGAUAAUAUUUUGUGAUAUACUUAAUUGAUUCCAAAUUGUCCUUUGUACAUUUUACCUCUGUAGAUGUGUAUACCAUUGUUGUUCUGUUAUGAAAAAUAUUCUUACAAGCUGUAGCUCUUUUUGGUUCUGGGGAUUGAACUCAGAGGCCUGCAACCACUUAGCCACAUCUCCAGCCCUAGUUUGUAUUUUCUUUAGAGCAGGGUUUCACUGAGUUGUUAAGCACUCACUUUUUUUUUUUUUUUUAAUAUUUGUUUUAGUUGUAGGUGGACCCAAUUUUAUUUUUAUGUGGUGCUAAGGAUCAAACCCAGUGCCUCAUGCAUGCUGGGCAAGCACUAGCCACAACCCCAGUCCAGCGCCUCGCUUUUGCUGAGGUUGGCUUUGAACUCGUGAUUCUCCUGCCUCAGCCUCCCAAGCUGCUAUGAUUACAGGUGUGCACCACUGUGCCCGGCGACAAGCUGUAACUUUUAUGACAGUUCCUUGUGUUUUAUUUCCAUGAAAGUAGACUCAUGUUCCCAGAUGUUAGGAAAUCAAAAUCCACCUAACUCAAGUGGGGCACAGGGAAAGCUCUUUCUUGUCUGCUGUAGACAUUUUUCUGAAAUAACUUGCUGUGAAUUGGCUUUCUGACUAUAUCCAACUUUUAGUUUGGUAAUUUUGCUAAAUGAAAACUCUUCUGUGGGAGCCAGGGUUGUGGUUCAGUGGUAGAGCACUUGCCUAGUGUGCAUGAGGCCACUACAUAAAAAUAAAAACUACAACUAAAAAAGAAAAAGAAAAAAACCUUUUUGUGCAUAGGGAAGAGCUUCUAGCCUCUUUGGGGAGAGCAUACACUUGCCUUCUCACAGUGAAUGACUAAUAUGCCAGUGCUCUCUCACCCACCUCUUUUUUAUUUUGACUUAAAAUGAUUUGUUUGAAACAUAAAAGAUUGUAUUGGAUGCUUGAAGUUACUGAUUAUUACGUCACUAGUCUCUUGUGAAUUCAUAUAUUGCAUUAUAAAAACGGUAAAAUGAACCCUACUUAUACUGGCAUUCUUUUGUAAACUGGUUAUUAUGCUGUCUCAUAGAAAUUCUAUGUAUAGUGUGAGCAUCCUCUGUAAGUUCUUUAACAUCUGUAGAGCUAUAAAUUGGUGCUGCAGUUUCCUUGCUCUGUGGGUGUUGUCUGAACCUAUGGAAUAACAGAAGUAGUCGUGUGGAAACUUUUAAAGCAGAUUUUAAAAGAGUAUUGAACAAAUAAAGAAUGAUACAAUUUAUUUAAAAAAUUACUGGGUCUUAAGUUGUCAUGUUUUAACUUUGAAAUGACUUUGUUGCCUGUUGUGCUUCAUUAUAUUUUCUUUUAGGUCUAUGCAUGUAUGAUGGUUUUCUUCUUAAGCAACAUGAUUGAGAACCAGUGUAUGUCAACAGGUGCAUUUGAGAUAACUUUAAAUGGUAGGUUUUGAAUAGUUUGCAUGUUGUGAUACAUUUUAAGUGAUUUCUAGUGAGCAAAAGCCUUUUCUGUUUUUCUUUAAUGUUGAUAUGGAGGUUUAUUUGAUAAAAAUCAAAGAUCCGGAAACAGAAUUUAGAAAAUUUUAACUUAUUCUCUUGUCUUUACCUCUACUUGAAUUUUUAGAAUUUCUUGAAGGGUUAGCCCUCUUCUUGUGUUACAUUAUCUGUCUGGUCCUUAUCUUUUCUCGGUGUAGUACUCAGGAACCUUAAACAUAACCUGCUCCAAAGUAAACUCUUGAUUACUUUUGCUCCCUACAAUUCCUGUAUGCUGUUAAUUUGCUUCUCCUCUGGCAUAUUUGAUUCUUUCAACUUCUCCUUUACUACCCAUGUUUGGUCAAUCACCAGGUCUUCUCAGUUCUGUCCUCUAAAUGGCUCAGAAAUCUCCUUCUGUUCACUUCACUGCCAUCAUGCUAGUUCGUGCUGCAGUUAACUUGUUGCCCUCUGCAGAUAGGGGCCAUUAGCUAACAACCAUGUUUACAUAAUUAAAUAGUUAAAAAGCAACAACAAAAGAAUAUGACAUAUAGAAAUCAUAUGAAAUUCAAAGCUGUGUUCAUAACUGAUGGUCUUAGUUUCAUCAAUGAAAAAUCAUGGAAAUUUUUCUUUCUAGUUACAUAAUUAUACCUCUGUAAUACCCUUGAUAUUAUUUCUUGAUCCAUAAAGCUAAAAUAUUUUCUAUCUGGCUUUUUACAGAAAAAAAUUGCCAAUAUCUGCUCUAAAAGAGGGUUUUUUUGUUUGUUUUUUUUAAUGCAGAUUUCAUCUUGUCACUUGAGUAUGUCAAAUUCAUUAAAUGGCUUUACUACUUUUUCCAAGAUAAAGACCAGAAUAUUUAAUAUGGCCAAAAGGCUGUGCGAGAUCUAGUUAAGGGUCUGUAAACUGUGUCCUAUGUUUUUGCUGCCGGUGUUAUAAAUAAAGUUUCGCCCAAACACAGUGUGCACAUUCUUCAGGCUGCCAUGAGAGUUGAAUGGCUGUGACAGAAACUGUAUUCCUAGAAAAAUGUUUGUUUCUUGUUUCGCUGCAGUUUGUUAACCCCAGUCUAACUCUCCCCACCCCUCUGUCUCCCUCCACCUCAUUCCAGCUAGUGUUUGGAUCACUCACUGCGCAGGGUUUCCAUCUAGUUUUUAUACUUCUCUGUCUUAGAGGUUUCCUGCUUUCAUGAAGCCUCACUCCUUUUUAAAAUAUUUUUUAGUUGUCAAUAGACCUUUAUUUUUAUUUAUUUAUAUGUGGUGCUGAGAAUUGAACCCAGUGCCUCACAAAUGCCAUGCAAGUGCUCUACCACUGAGCCCCAGCCCCAAGCCUCACUCUUAUCUUGGUAACUUUUCAGAUCUCAGUUUAAAUGAUAUUGCUUCUCUGACUAGUCAGCAGUGGAGCACUAGAGCACUUUCUAGUUUUACUUUUAGUACACAAUUUUAAUGGUGUAGCUAUUUAUGUAGUUCUUGGUAUUUCCUCUUCUAGAGUGUAAACUCCCUAAGAACAGGAGCUUCUGCUCACCUUUGUAUUCCCAGUUGAGUAUAUAGACACUUGAUAAAUAUUUGUGGAAUGAAUGUCUCUUAUAGAACUAUCUUUAAUUUGGCAUGGGGGUACUAUUUAUGUUUUACAGACGUGCCUGUAUGGUCUAAGCUGGAAUCUGGUCAUCUUCCAUCCAUGCAACAACUUGUUCAAAUUCUUGACAAUGAAAUGAAACUCAAUGUGCACAUGGAUUCAAUUCCGCAUCAUCGAUCAUAGCCCCACCUAUCAGCACUGAAAACUCUUUUGUAAGUACUUAAAAAUAUACUAGUUAUGUAUGGGUUUCUGUUAAUUCUUAUCAUGAAUGUUAGUAGAUAUUACACAUAUUAUCACUUAAGUUUUCAAUUUAAGGUUAAACAGAUGGAUGUGUCCUUCAUUAAGAUUUAUAUAUCAAUAGAGUUUGAACCUGCCAAAGUUAAGUAAGGUUGUGUUAAUAAUUUUAUCUUGAAGGCCUUUUAAUAUAAUUCUUUAAACUCUGAACUGUGGAUAGCCAGAAUUGAUACAGUAGAGUAUACAUACCCUCUCCAUACCUUCAGCUAAUUAGUUUCUAAGAGUACACAAAUUUUUUAGCAUGUUCAAGAUAGGAAACUUAUAACCAAAUGUGUGAAUAUGGAAAGAGGAGUUUUGAUUAACUUUUUCUCAGCAGAGUUGUUCUCGGUUCUUUUCUGAUCAGUUAGUUGACUUUCUAAUAAGAGUUUUUGCAGGGUGGUAAUUGGAGUAUUCCUUUCUGUAUAUCUUUCAGACAUUAAGGGAUCUUUGCAAGAGCAGCGUGACUGACACUAUGAAGGCCUGUACUGAAGACAGCCAGCUGUUAGUACAGACCAGAUGCUUUUUUGGCAGGCUCGUUGUACCUCUUGGAAAACCUCAAUGCAAAAUAGUUUUUCUGUGCUGGCACGUUCUGGAAUUCUGCACAUUCGUGGAGUGCAAUAAUACUGUAUAGCUUUCCCCCAACCCAGAUUCACCCAGUUAAUAGUUUGUCAUUUUUUUAAAUGUAGACAUUACUACUUAAAACUUUUUUCUUAGUCAUAUUUAAAAAGUAGACAGUUGAGUUAUAAUUUGAUUUUUUUCAAAGUGUCUGUUAAAUCUUGUGUUUUUAUAUGAUUUUUUUUUUUUUUUAGUUUAAAGUCAAUCUUUGGGGGAAUACAGCUAAAGUUCCCAAAAGAGUUUAUCAGUCAUCUCUAAUUUGGUCAUGUCCAAUUUAUAUCGUUAUCAAAAAACUGCAGAUUGUGAACAGUGCAUUAUACAAGAUUAUGGGGGAAUCUAAUAUCCAGAGUACUCUACCAAUUUGUUUGUAUGUGUGUGUGUGUGUGUGUGAUUACCAGAGAACUACUACAAAACCAACUGCUUUUUAAAUUCUGUUGUGUAGUUCAGGUGUCUUGCCUUGACCAAUCUAAUGAAUUGAUUAACUGGCCUUUAUACUUAAUAAAAAACUAGCAGAUGUCAGUUAAAUGAAAAAGUUUCAGUUUAUUGCUCAAUGUACUUGUUAACAUUGUAUUUAAUCAUCAUCGGCCUAAUUUUGUGUUUUUAACUUAAAGAUAAUCUCCUAAGGGUUACACUUUAGAUUCCCACAAAAAAAAAAAAGGUUAAUUUACCAUUUUUAGAGUUGAAACUCACCUCAUUAAAUAAAAGUUCAGUUGACCCUCUUUACAACAUUGAUACUAAGUGAACAGAAAUCACCCAGCAUCAGAUAUCAGAAUUGUGUUGUAUUUGAAAAAUAAGAUUGAAAAAUUUUUUAAUUUAAAUUUACUGAUAGUCUCAGUAUUCUAAAAAUAAGAGUUUUUAGAAAACUAAAAUUGACUAAGACUUGAAGGACAAUUUAGCAGAAAUAGGACCAUAAUGUAGAAAAAGAGCCAUGGAGCAGCAGCCGCAGCUUCAGCUUCCACAGGCUUAACAUGGAGAGCCCAAAGUAGGCCUGGAUUUACUCAUGAAAAUAAAAGGAUUUAAGGAAAAGUUAUGAGGAAAACCCAACAUUGGUUUUACCUAACACUUCAGAGUUACAAGACCUAACCCUGUGUGUCAUAGGACUGACCUGUUUUGUUAUCACUGGGUGUCCUGAAGCACAUGUCAGGUAAUGGCCUAACUGUUACAGCCUCAGGGAGGAGCACUGCAGUCUCUGAACUGACUGCAUGAUGUCAGUCUGUGAUUCACUGCAGAAAACUGGCCAAGUGGUUAUCAUUUCCAUUCCGAAUAGAACCUUUACGUUCUUCAGGGUUAGUUAGUUCAUGAUUUAAGUUUCAAGCUCCUUCGAGAUUGUUAUUUAGGUAUAAUAUUUAUGUUUGACUAAGGAUUAAAAACGUGUUAAUCUGAUUGCAUACCACUCCAAACUCCCCAUUUUCUGCAGGUUGAACACCCUGUCGAAUGUGUCUGGGGGUCUUUCUUUGGCUAAUGGACAUUCCACUAGUGACAGUUACCUUUAUGGCAUGAAGCUACUAAAAAACUGAAUCUUGAAAGUUCCCAUGGGUUUAACAGAUCAAACUAUGGGGAACCAAAGCUUCAGCUCCAACUUUCUCCAUGUUUGCCUUGGGUUGAAUAACUUAUUUUUUAGAGAAUAGCUUUAAGUGGCUUAGACACUGAUAAGAGCUAUUUUGUUUUAUGCUUAGUUCUAUUUAAAUCUAGAAUUUAAUGGAGUCUGAUUAAAAAAAAAUGUGGGUCAUGUGAAUAUGAAAAAAUGUGAGGAAAAUAAACUAUUUGCAGUGUAACUUUAUUAUAUUCUAACAUUUCAAAAUUAUUGCUUAUAAAUUGGUAUGGUUGUGUAGUUUAUAACUGUCUAUGCACUAUAUUAAUUAAAAGACCAUAGGAUAUGUUGGCAGGUUGGCUGAUGUUGGCAUUUUUUACCACAGUUGCCAUUGUGGAAGAAAUUAUUUGUUACAUUAAUAAUAAAAAAAAGUUAAUAAAACGUGACUUUAUACCUCACUGUGUAAGAUGUACAGACAAAUGAGCUUUCAGAAUAUAAAUGGCCUUAUUUGCUUGCAGCACUAGCAUUAUGGAUGGUAGCAGUUGAUCAGCCU
rnacentral:lncRNA from 1 species